UAUGCCACCAUGCCCCUCUAUUAUCAAAAUACGUAUAUUAAUAAUAAAAGAAGAAUGAUUAAAAUCUGCCCUGUAAAUGAGUUUACCUUAGCAACACUGUAACACAGGACUUUAUAUCUUCUGCUGUUUGUUUGUCUGACAGAUACCAAGACAAACUGCUUCACUCCUGUAGUGUCUCCAUCCAUUGUCUCUCCUACAGGUUUAACAAUGAGCAACGCGGAGCUAUCAAUUCGAUUGGUUUUCUUUUUCAUCAUUCUGAUCCUUCCUCCUGUCAUUGGAAUCAUUUACACCAAGAGCAGAAACCAUCCAAUCAGAGGUCAGGUGUCCUCUGGUACAGAACUCCAAGAAUAUGUGAAUGGCUAGAUGAUAAACAGAAAUCUCCAUUUUCAUCUUAUAUUCUCCAUUUUACUGUGUCUGCUACAGGCCUCCUCUAUGACAAAGACAGUGAUUUCAGGGUUGUACUAAACACACCAGUAUGAGAACACUGUCAUUAUUUUUAAGGACGUUUAUGUUGAAUGUUUAUCACAUUAACCUCAUUUGUAGCACAUUUUUUUCUCCCUUUUGCUGUUUGCAUUAUUUUCUAUGGAAUGAACUGUAGGUCAACUGCUUGUGUUUCCAUAGGUGUCAAAUCUUGUCAAAUGACCCAGCUGAUGAUUGUUAUUUAUACAACAGUUCUUACUCAGCUUUCAGAUAACAGUUUUAUCAAAAGAGUUCAGUUACAGUGAGUCUGUAUCAAGGAAAAGGUUUGAAAAGCUGGCAGAUCUGAUGGCCUCUUCAGUUUUUUUUAUUGAACUCUUUCAAUGUCUCUAAUUUUAAAGAUUGUAUUUUAUUUUACCAGUCCCAUGUGGGUUUAGGAUGGGAGGUGUGUGUGGGAGGUGGGUUGUUUAAGGGAUACAA